rnacentral:rRNA from 1 species
GACAUAGGUGGCGAACGUUAUCCGGAAUUAUUGGGCGUAAAGGAUGCGUAGAUGGUAUAAUAAGUUAUUGGUGGUAAAUCGAGGCUCAACCUCGUGGAAGCUGGUAAUACUGUUAUACUCGAGGAUAGGAGAGGUUAACGGAACUCCCUGUGGAGCGGUGAAAUGCGCAGAUAUCAGGAGGAACACCGGUGGCGAAGGCGGGUCUCUGGGCCGAUACUGACGCUGAGGAGCGAAAGCGUGGGGAGCGAACAGG